UUUUCCAUCCAAAUGGUACAUAUUGUAUUGGUACACAGGAGCAGACUCCCAUAAAGGUUUUGAAUGGGCCAAUAUAUGAUGAAGUACAUCAGAAAAUAAAUCCAUGGAUUUACCAGAUCACUAGAGUGUUCAAGAAUAAGGAACAUGCUGAAGUUGAAUUUACAAU